ACGCCGGAUCAUCCCUCCGAGAGUGACGUCCGAACACUCUCUACUGCAAUUGCCGACAGACAAACGACGGAGCUCGUGCGGUCAACGCUUUCGACACUCGACGGAAAGUGUAAACGCGAGCUUCUCCUCUUGCUUUAAGUUGACCUUCAGCACCCGUAAGCGCCCCACGAGAAGCGCGCGAUGUGGAAUUUAAUCAACAACGCUGAGCCGACACCGCAGUCAAUCAGCGCUCGUCUCCGGGACACGACACUUGCAGCUGUCAGCUCGCCGUCCUACAUCAUCCACGCGCGCUCGUCAAUAAGUGGGGCGGGUUGCACCAGGCGCUUCGACCGUUGCCACCUUCGCCACCUUCGCCACUUGCGGGACACGCGCAAAUUGUCCCGAUGGACGACGCCACGCGUGCGAUGAUUGAUGGCGCGUCCAGAUGAUGGUGCGACUGCACGGCGCGCCGAGCUCUGCCUCGACACACACCCCCCCUCACUCCACUCCACUGCAUGCAGCAUUCAUCUUUUGUUUCGAGGUCUUUGUGAAUAAGAGACCGUUUCCC